UUGAUUAGUCGUUUACUUCCAGGUCCCGAAGUAUUCACUCUACAAGCUCGAUAUUACGUGUGGGGGUUCGUAAUAACGGCAAAAAGAACAAACUUGGCAACCCGUUUCAGGAGCAUAAAGCGCGUCCUCUGUUCCUUCUUUCCAGGCCUUUCCAUAAUCCCCAUCGCAUCCCUGAGGAACGUAACCAGCCACAGGGUGGUGCUGGAACAAAGACCAACGAUGACAUUCCCCUCUGGUUUUGGUUAGAGCUCAUAUUGGCACAAAAAUAAACAUUUCUGGAAGACAAACAACAAUCUGCUCUCCUGAGCUUGUGCAUUUUCUGUGUUUUAUUGUAUGAAGAAGAUUCAAAGUAGACAGUUAGAAAUUGGGAACAAUUUUAACAGGUUUUAUCACUAUCUAUAGUUUGUGUUUGAUUUUGUCAUCUUUCUAGGUUUUGAUUAUGACUUGUUGUAAUUUUCAGUACUUUUAAUACAUUAGUCUCUUCCAGAGUUUGGUUUUGUUACCUUUCAUCACACAAUUUUUAAAAUAGUUUUUGUACAAAUGUUUCUUGACUCUAAUUUUAUCCCCCUCAGUCAUAUUACAAAUUAGUAGGUUUUAAAUGUCAUGAUGAUUGUCUUUGUUCUUUUGGAAGUCCAACAAUUAUGAGCAGUUUUUAUAUUAAUAUCCAUGGAAAUAUUAAGUUUUAUAUGAUUUCAUCAGGGGAGUUGAUCAUUCUGACCAUACUGUUAAGAUUUGUUAUGCUUUUUUUAUGAAUGUUUUUUGUUAAAAAUAAAUUUCUUUUUGUAAGUUGAA